rnacentral:rRNA from 1 species
AUUGAACGCUGGCGGCAGGCCUAACACAUGCAAGUCGAACGAGUGGCGGACGGGUGAGUAAUGUCUGGGAAACUGCCUGAUGGAGGGGGCUAACUACUGGAAACGGUAGCUAAUACCGCAUACCAUCAGAUGUUCCCAGAUGGGAUUAGCUUGUUGGUGGGGUAACGGCUCACCAAGGCGACGAUCCCUAGCUGGUCUGCGCGGAUGAGCAGGCACAAUGGAACUGAGACAAGGUCCUGACUCCUGAUGUAGGCAGCAGUGGGGAAUAUUGCACAAUGGGCGCAAGCCUGAUGCAGCCAUGCCGCGUGUAUGAAGAAGGCCUUCGGGUUGUAAAGUACUUUCAGCGGGGAGGCGUUACCCGCAGAAGAAGCACCGGCUAACUCCGUGCCAGCAGCCGCGGUAAUUC